rnacentral:rRNA from 1 species
AUAGUGGACAAUGGGCGAAAGCCGGAUCCAGCCAUGCCGCGUGUGGGAAGAAGGUCUUCGGCUCGUAAAGCACUUUAAGUUGGGGGGAAGGGCAGUAACGUAAUACCUUGCUGUUUUGACGGUACCGGUCGCAUAAGAAACGGCUAACUUCGUGCCAGCAGCCCCGGUAAUACGAAGGGUGCAAGCGUUAAGCGGAAUUACUGGGCGUAAAGCGCGCGUAGGUGGUUUGUUAAGUAGGAAGUGAAAGCACGGGGCUCAACCUGGGAACUGCUUUCAAAACUGGCAAGCUAGAGUAUGGCAGAGGGUGGUGGAAUUUCCUGUGUGGCGGUGAAAUGCGUAGAUAUAGGAAGGAACACCAGUGGCGAAGGCGACCACCUGGGCUAAUACUGACACUGAGGUGCGAAAGCGUGGGGAGCAAACA